CACCGGAUCGCGACCGGAACCUGGAGAACCGGUGGUCGUUCCUCCCGUAAAGCACAGCAUAACCUUGGAAAGCUGCACCUAAACUGCGUGUGGGUCCGGGCUCUUUUAGGCGAAGCGCGUUCGGCGGAAUCGACUUCCUCGACUAUCUCCGUGCCCUGGACCCGCCCUCUCCGCCUGGCGCCAGGCCGCCGAGCGCCGAUCGGCUCGAUGAGCGGAGGCGCUGCUGCGGCGCUGCGGCCGACGACGAGUCUGCACCCACUGUCUCCCCCUCCCAGCUUUUUACCUCGGCUUCCCACUCCUUCCCCCGCCCGCCCAGCACCGCCCGCCCAGCACCGCCAGCCCGGGAGAGCUGCCGGGAGUUCCCCGGGAGCCUCAGGCAGUGAUUAUCCUGUUGAGAAGUAGAAAAUACUUCGCAAAUAAAAAAUAUGCCUCCCAAGUUUAAGCGCCACCUCAAUGAUGAUGAUGUCACGGGUUCUGUGAAAAGUGAAAGGAGAAAUCUUUUGGAAGAUGAUUCAGAUGAAGAAGAGGACUUUUUUCUAAGGGGACCAUCUGGACCAAGAUUUGGACCUAGAAAUGAUAAAAUUAAGCAUGUUCAGAAUCAAGUGGAUGAAGUUAUUGAUGUCAUGCAAGAAAAUAUUACAAAGGUAAUUGAGAGAGGGGAGAGACUAGAUGAACUACAGGACAAAUCAGAAAGCUUAUCGGAUAAUGCAACAGCUUUUAGCAACAGAUCCAAACAACUUCGAAGGCAAAUGUGGUGGCGCGGAUGCAAAAUAAAAGCCAUCAUGGCUUUGGUUGCUGCUAUCCUUUUGCUAGUGAUUAUCAUUCUUAUAGUCAUGAAAUACCGUACUUGAUUUGAUGACAGAGAUCUUCAUUAAACAAGAUCUGGGACAGUAAUAAAAGAUUGCUGCAUAAUUUAAAUGAAACCUUUGUGUAUAUAACUUUCAAAACUUCUUUUUCAAGAAACUAAGAGCUCAGAUCAUCCUGCACUUGAAAAAUGAAGUUUUACCAUCAUCAAAACUAUCAUUAUUUAACAACAAGUGAAGAUCAACAGAAAAAUUCAAGUAGCUUUGCAAAUACUAGUUGAUUCUCAGUGAAAUCACGUCACUAUUUUCAUGCCUGAAUCCAUACCCUUGUGAUUUAUGUUUAAUUACAGAAGCCUAUUGCCUUGCAGCAAUUUCGUUGUUUUAAUACUGAUAAUUAGUUACUCCUUCUUAUUAUAACUCAGUAAUACCUGUGGUCGUUUGGUUCCUCUAUCCUGACAAAGUUCACUGGAAAUUGCCCUCAGAUUUUAUAAACUGGGGGAUUUCUUAAUUAGAUGAAAGUUCACUAUUAAAGAUGGAAUAUUAUAUAAGAUAGAGGAAGGGUAAUUAAUACACAUGAGAUACAGAAAUACUUUGUUAGCCCUCCUAUAGAUUGCCUAUUUUAGUCUUUCUGUGCAUUUCAGUACUCUGUAUUAGAAAAUUAUAACUUCAGCACUUUUGAUAGCAAAAAUUGGCAUCUUUCAAUUCUGUAUAGUAUGUGGGUAUCCUGUAAAUGAUAAUACGUGUACAGACUGAGAAGGCAGGAAUAUAGUAUAAAGAAAUUGAAAUCUCUCAUUGCCAGUAUACUCUAAAACAGGCUUGAUGCCUUGUCAGCAUCAUUGCCCACGUUGACUCUGUAAUCUGUAUAUACACUAUGAUUAGAAAAUACGCAAGAAAUUGUUUUUCCAUGUCAAGAACAAAUACCAAUAGAAGAUGUCCCCUUAAUUGUAUUGUCAGAGUAUUACUAUGUCAAGGAUGAUUGUUCUGUUAACCUAAUUUUGUGUUUUCACAUGGAAAUGUGAUUGGACUCCAUUUUUCUGUGA